rnacentral:misc_RNA from 1 species
AGCAAAACCACACGCUUUCAGCCAUAUCAACAAAGGGCAUUCCGUUUGCACUUUUUUCUUGUGGAAGAUGGCGGACCUUCUUUCCCUCCAACAAAUUACGGAGCUUAAAGAAGCCUUUUCCGCAUUUGAUGUUGAUUGCGAUGGUAGCAUUACUGUCGAUGAUUUGGAGCAAGUGUUCAGUUCAAUUGGCCACAAAGUGUCCAAGAAAAAACUGCAGUCGAUUUUGUGUGAAGCUGACCUAGACUCCAACGGGGUGAUCGACUUCCCGGAGUUUCUCACGCUUGUGGCCGCUAAGCUGAAUGACCCGGAGGAAAAAGAGCUUGAAAUGCGUCGUGCGUUUCGCAUGUACGACCUAGGAAACACCGGAUUCAUCACUGUGCCUAAUCUGCGCUUUGUGAUGGGGCGCCUUGGCUGCUUCCUGACACCAGAGCAGGCAUUCGACAUGAUUAGUGAGGUGGAUGCGGAUGGUGACGGAAAACUCAGCUUUGACGAUUUUCGCCGUGUGAUGACUGAGGGAUGGGGCGCGACGCCUUGACUCAGGCUGGAAAACAUGUAUCAUCAUUUUCGCCCCUUUCAGUUUUUCUUUGCAUGUUCUUGAACCGGAAAACUAUUGUGCUGGGCCUGUUUGGAAAGAACAGCUCUCGUCCAUCUUUCCCCCCUUCGUGACAUAUGUUUUAUUUUUUUUCUUCCUACUUUUUUUUUCGUUGCUUGAAGAGGAGUAGAACGGGGGAAAGAAACAUUGGGCCUCUACUAGUGAUAACGUAUAUCAGUUAGCUCUUUUCUGAGAGGCCGUG